UACGUAGGGGGCUAGCGUUGUCCGGAUUUAUUGGGCGUAAAGAGCGUGUAGGCGGCCAGGUAGGUCUGCUGUGAAAACUCGAGGCUCAACCUCGAGACGUCGGCGGAAACCAUCUGGCUAGAGUCCGGAAGAGGAAAGUGGAAUUCCAUGUGUAGCGGUGAAAUGCGUAGAGAUAUGGAGGAACACCAGUGGCGAAGGCGACUUUCCGGUCUGUAACUGACACUGAGGCGCGAAAGCGUGGGGAGCAAACAGG
rnacentral:rRNA from 1 species